rnacentral:tRNA from 1 species
AUUCACCUGAAAACUAUAUAAAUUUUCUUAUAAGAAUUUCAAAUUCCUAUCAAAUUUAAGUGAA